CAGGGAGGGGAGGUGCGGAAGGGGAGAAAGAUUUUCAGGUGUCGCUCUUAGUUACUCGUUUUAGUGUCUGUACCGCUUGUAGUUGCUAGGUGAGUGUUCCGGAGGCCAGCCGUGAGAGGAUCUGAUCCACUGAUGAAGCGGGGCUGAGCAGUGCUGCUGGUCUGUGAACCUGCUUUGAAAACUUGGUUACUGAGGCUUCUCUCCUGGAGAGAUCCGAAUACAGUAUUAAAGAUACCGCUGAAAAAAGGUUUUAUUCAGGAACACUGUGCCUGUCACUCAACGUAAUUUCAACUUUCCGGCUAAAUGACUUUUGUGCCAGUGAUACCGGAGUCCUACAGCCAUGUUCUUGCAGAGUUUGAGUCUCUGGAUCCAUUACUUUCAGCCCUGAGGCUGGACUCCAGUCGUCUAAAGUGCACGAGCAUAGCUGUGUCUCGGAAAUGGUUGGCUUUGGGCAGUUCAGGAGGAGGACUCAAUCUCAUUCAGAAAGAAGGCUGGAAGCACAGGCUUUUUCUUUCACACAGGGAAGGUGCAAUUUCUCAGGUUGCCUGUUGUUUACAUGAUGAUGAUUAUGUUGCUGUAGCUACCAGUCAAGGUCUUGUAGUUGUUUGGGAAUUAAAUCAGGAGCGUCGUGGGAAACCAGAACGAAUUUAUGUGUCUUCAGAGCAUAAAGGCCGAAAAGUUACAGCUCUCUGUUGGGACACAGCUAUUCUUAGAGUUUUUGUAGGUGAUCAUAUGGGGAAAGUUUCUGCCAUCAAACUUAACACUUCUAAGCAAGCAAAGGCAGCUGCUGCCUUUGUGAUGUUUCCUGUUCAGACAGUAACAACAGUUGACUCCUGUGUUGUGCAGUUAGAUUAUUUGGAUGGAAGACUACUUAUAUCUUCACUUACUCGAUCCUUCUUGUGUGACACUGAGAGAGAAAAAUUUUGGAGAAUCGGAAGCAAGGAAAGAGAGGGAGAAUACGGAGCUUGUUUCUUCCCUGGAAGAUGUUCCUCAGGCCAGCAACCCCUAAUAUAUUGUGCUCGCCCAGGCUCCAGGAUGUGGGAAGUGAACUUUGAUGGGGAAGUUAUAAGUACACAUCAGUUUAAGAAACUCCUCUCGUCACCACCUCUCCCUGUGAUUACUCUAAGAUCAGAUCCUCAGUAUGAUCAUACAGUUGGAUCCUCCCAAUCUUUGUCUUUCCCCAGACUCUUGCAUGUUAGCGAGCACUGUGUGCUGACUUGGACAGAAAGAGGAAUUUAUAUUUUCAUUCCUCAGAAUGUUCAAGUUCUUCUUUGGAGUGAAGUCAAAGAUAUUCAGGAUGUGGCUGUCUGCAAGAAUGAGCUGUUCUGUUUGCACCUAAACGGGAAAGUCUCACAUCUUUCUCUGUUGUCUGUGGAACGCUGUGUGGAACGCCUGCUGAGGAGAGGCCUGUGGAACCUGGCUGCUCGCACUUGCUGUCUUUUCCAAAACUCUAUUAUCGCCAGCAGAGGAAGAAAAUCUUUGACUGUGGAUAAAUUGGAGCAUUUGAAGUCUCAGCUGGAUGUUGCAACCUAUAAUGAUCUAAUUACUCAACUGGAAGAAUUGAUCUUAAAAUUUGAACCUUUGGAUUCAGCUUGCAGCAGUAGAAGAAGCUCCAUUUCGUCACAUGAAAGUUUCAGCAUCUUGGACUCUGGUAUUUAUCGGAUCAUUAGUAGUAGAAGAGGCAGUCAGUCAGAUGAAGACUCUUGUUCCCUUCAUAGUCAGACCCUCUCAGAAGAUGAGAGACUCAAAGAAUUUGCCUCACCUCAAGAAGAGGACCAACCAGAUCAGUGUUGGAGCUCACACGGAAAUGAAGACAGAGGUUCUCAUGUUCCUGUGACAUUUGAGACAGAUAAGAAUGAAACUUUUCUCCCCUUCGGCAUCCCGCUAUCAUUUCGUUCUCCAUCUCCUCUUGUGUCUCUUCAGGCUGUCAAGGAAAGUGUUUCUAGCUUUGUGCGUAAAACUACUGAGAAGAUUGGCACCCUUCAUACAAGCCCUGAUCUGAAAAUAAGACCGGAACCCAGGGGUGAUGAGCAGUUCUGUGAAGACGAGAUGAGUCCAGUCACCUGCCCGAAGGAACAAGACACUGAGGGCAAAAGAGAAGUAAUUAGUCAACCUCCAGAAGAAGACAAGCUCCAAGAGCUCAAAGAAGCGACAGCAGAAGCAAUGACCAAGCUACAGAACCCACUGGUUUUGUUUGAACCCACGUCUCUGAGGAUGGUCUUACAUGAGUGGCUUUCACAGUUAGAAAAAACGUUUGCCGUGAAGGACUUUUCAGGUAUUUCAGAUACUGGCAACUCAUCCACAACAUCAAACCAGGAUGUGCUAUUGUUUGACCAGUCAAAAAAGGAAAUACUAGAUGAAGAUAAUGAAAAAAGAGAGUCUUUAGGCAGUGAAGAACCUGUUGAUCCAACAGCAUGUGAAUCUACAAAUAGUCUGAGGGAGCCCCUGGAUGACAUUUUCCAAAUGUGUUCUCCGUGCAGCAUAGCUAACAGUCUUCAGAAGGACCUGGCUGAAUUGACAACAUUGUGUUUGGAAUUGAAUGUAUUGAAUUCUGAGACCAAAAGCACAAGUGGACAUGUGGACCACACUUUGAAACAGUACUCUCCUGAAAUUCUGGCUUGCCAGUUCAUAAAGAAGUACUUUUUUCUCUUGGACUUGAAAAGAGCAAAGGAGAGUAUCAAGCUUGGUUACGCCUGCAGUCCUUGUGUUUGGGAUACUUUUAUUGAAGGAUUGACAGGUGUGCUUUAUCUUUCAGAAAUGGCAAGUUCCAAUCCUGCAUAUAUGGAGAUGGAAGAAGGAGACUUACCAACAAGAUUAAAGUUAUUGAAUGAUUCAGUUCCCCUUGACAAUCCUUUGUUGAUUGCUUAUGCUGCCCGAUUGUAUGAGAAGUUUGGAGAAUCUGCCCUUCGGUCCUUAAUCAGGUUUUACCCAUCUGUUUUGCCUUCGGAUGUCAUGCAACUUUGUCAUCAUCAUCCUGCUCAGUUUUUGGCCUAUUUAGACAGUCUGGUGAAAUCGAGGCCUGAAGAUCAACGGCCAUCCUUCCUUGAGUCCCUUCUACAACCAGAGUCUUUGAGAUUGGAUUGGCUGCUUUGGGCCGUGUCCCACGAUGCUCCCCCAAGCACAAGCACGAUGGACAAUGAAGGAAACCCCAGGCCUCAUUCACACUUGUGUUCGUGGGGUUAUAGCCAGCUGAUGCUUCAUCUCAUUAAACUACCUGCAGAUUUUACAACCAAAGAGAAAAUGACUGACAUCUGUAAGUCUCAUGGUUUCUGGCCUGGAUAUCUUUCUCUUUGUUUGGAGCUGGAAAGAAGAAGAGAGGCCUUCACCAACAUUGUGUGCCUAAAUGAUAUGAGCCUGAUGGAAGGGGACAAUGGUUGGAUCCCAGAGACUGUGGAGGAAUGGAAGCUUCUGCUACAUCUCGUACAGAACAAGAGCAGGAACCCCCAGAAGUCACCAAAUGGAAACUUCAGUGAUGGGCCUCCCCCCAUCAACGUGGAGAAUGUGGCACUCCUGUUAGCUAAGGCCAUGGGCCCAGAUCGGGCCUGGUCACUGCUACAGGAAUGUGGUUUGACCCUGGAGCUGUCAGAGAGGUUUACCAGAACCUGCGAUAUCCUAAGGAUUGCUGAGAAAAGGCAGAGAGCCUUGAUACAAAGCAUGCUUGAAAAAUGUGAUCGGUUUCUCUGGUCUCAGCAGGCCUAGUGGAAGAAGAUUCAGCAAAUGUCACAAUGCUUUGAGAAAAACUGAACCAUGCUCCUGAACCUCCUGAGUGCAUUUGCUGUUGAAGGAAAGUAGCACUCAGGAUGGUUUGAGAAGUGACGGAGGUCAUGAAUGUGAUGAAUGUGAAGCACGGAGCAGGCGCCUGGCACAGAGUACAGGGAGAGCCAUCUCUUGGUGACAUGUGAGACUAAAGUGCAGGGCAGUAGAGCUUGUGACGGUGCCCAGGAACACGUGUUAGCUGUUGUGUGAGAGGAUUAGAAGAUCCUUGCACCCAGAAGUGAUCAGACCCGGGUAAGCUGGUUCAUACGAACCCGGGAGAGUGGGAGCACCAAAACUGAAGGUAAGAAUGUCCUUGUAUGUGUUAAAUGUCCCUUCCUGCCCAAGGCUCCAAACCUUGUGAUCGUCCUUGCCUCUCCCCUCCUCAACCAUCACGUGCCACCGCUAGGGAAAUCCUCUCAGUUCUGUGUUGGUGGUGGUUUCCACUGGUCAUUCCCCGUCCGCCCUCCCCGCCCCUCCCCCCCGCCAUCUCUGUUGCUGCAAGUCCACGUUCUCAUUUCUUCUUGCCUGCCUAGACAGUUAGAGCAGUCUUAGUGACCUUUCUUUCUUCACUUGUAAAUACUGCCUUCCCCCCGCCCCCCGCCACCACCACUCAGUCUCAGCUCCCUAAAAUACAAGCACCUAGGCAUCACCCAGGGCAGGUGAUUCACAGCCCUGCCACACAUUAGAGUCAGCACAGGAGCUUGUGAAAAAUACUGAGUCGGGGAUCCUGCCCCAGGCCUGGGAUCUGUAGAUCAAGGGUCUAAUACAAUCCUCAGCCGGCCUCCUACCCCCACAUUGUUCCUAGAUUUAGAUAGAGAGUGGCCCUGGUUUACAGAUAAACCCGUCUUGGUCUCAUGGGAAGUUAAUGAGCGGUCCACUGCCAGAGUUCUUGUCCUUUUGAGGCACGGCCUUAGUCACACCUCUUCCCAAUCAGAAACUUUCGGUGGCUCCCCUCUGCUUUCAGAAUAAAGCCCAAAUCCUUGAGCUUGUCAUUGAAGGCCCUCUCUGACUUGUUUCCAAAUUCAGUUCCUCAGUUCGAGAGUUUGUCUCUCAUCCUGGAUUCUCUGUUUCGUGGAUACGCUCUGCAUGUGGGCCUCUGCUUUGGGCCCCUGCUUAAACCCUGAAGUGUCCUUCGCCCCAGUCCCCCACCUGCUAAAUCCCACUGGGGUUCUGUGCCUUCAGAUUCCACAUGUCAAUCUGGGUUAUUUUACAGAUAACAUAAACAAGGGGCUGAAAUCUCUCUUUGCGCCAGGAAACAGUAACUUCAGAGUGGGGUCAGAGCUUUUCCUACCCCUUCAUUUAGAAGAAAUCUGCAUACCCCUAAACUUCCUGAAUAA